CGACCUCAGAUCAGGCGAGACUACCCAUUGAAUUUAAGCAUAUUACUAAGCGGAGGAAAAGAAACUAACAAGGAUUCCCCCAGUAGCGGCGAGCGAACAGGGAAGAGUCCAGCACCGAACCCCGCAGGCUGCCGCCUGUAGUGGCAUGUGGUGUUUGGGAGGGUCGACUACCCCGACGCCUCGCGCCGAGCCCAAGUCCAACUUGAAUGAGGCCACGACCCAUAGAGGGUGCCAGGCCCGUAGCGGCCGGGGCGAGCGUCGGCGGGACCUCACCUUCGAGUCGGGUUGCUUGAGAGUGCAGCUCCAAGUGUGUGGUAAACUCCAUCUGAGACUAAAUUGGACCACAAGACCGAUAGCGAACAAGUACCAUGAGGGAGAGUUGAAAAGAACUUUGAAGAAGGAGUUCAAUAGUACGUGAAACCGUUCUGGGGUAAACGUGAGAAGUCCGAAAGGUCGAACGGGUGAGAUUCACGCCCAUCCGGCCACUGGCCUCCACCCUCGGCAGAUGGGGCCGGCCGCCCGCGCGGAGCAAUCCGCGGCUGGGUCGUGUCCGCUUGCCUUUCCACUCGCCGCGGGGUGGGGCCGUUCCGGUGUGUGGUGGGCCGCACUUCUCCCCUAGUAGGACGUCGCGACCUGCUGGGUGCCGGCCUACGGCCCGGGUGCGCAGCCUGUCGUUCCGCGGGCCUCGUUUCGCGUCUGUUGGGCACAGCCUCGGUGUCCUGGCUGGCUGCCCGGCGGUAUAUCUGGAGGAGUCGAUUCACCCCUUUGGGCGCUCGGGCUCCCGGCAAGCGCGCGCGGUUCUCCCUGGAUGACAGACCUACCUGGCUCGGCCCCGGACCCGCGCCGCUGUUGGCUCGGGAUGCUCACUGGCGGAAUAAUCGCUCCUGUCAGCGGCGCUUCAGCUUUGGACAAUUUCACGACCCGUCUUGAAACACGGACCAAGGAGUCUAACAUGUGCGCGAAUCAUUGGGCUGUACAAAACCUAAAGGUGUAAUGAAAGUGAAUGUCUCGCCUUGCGCGGGCCGAGGGAGGAUGGGGCUUCCCCGCCCUUCACAGGGCGGCGGCCUCUGCACUCCCAGGGCGUCCCGUCCUCAUUGCGAGGUGAGGCGCACCUAGAGCGUACACGUUGGGACCCGAAAGAUGGUGAACUAUGCCUGGCCAGGACGAAGUCAGGGGAAACCCUGAUGGAGGCCCGUAGCGAUUCUGACGUGCAAAUCGAUCGUCGGAGCUGAUAUAGGGGCGAAAGACUAAUCGAACCAUCUAGUAGCUGGUUCCCUCCGAAGUUUCCCUCAGGAUAGCUGGUGCUCGUACGAGUCUCAUCCGGUAAAGCGAAUGUUUAGAGGCGUUGGGGCCGAAACGGCCAAAACCUAUUCUCAAACUUUAAAUGAGUGAGAUCUCCGGCAUGCUUGAUAUGCUGAAGCCGCGAGCAAACGACUCGGAUCGGAGUGCCAAGUGUGCCACUUUUGGUAAGCAGAACUGGCGCUGUGGGAUGAACCAAACGCCGAGUUAAGGCUCCAGAAUCGACGCUCAUGGGGAACCAUGAAAGGCGUUGGUUGCUUAAGACAGCAGGACGGCGGCCAUGGAAGUCGGAAUCCGCUUAGGAGUGUGUAACAACUCACCUGCCGAAGCAACUAGGCCUGAAAAUGGAUGGCGCUGAAGCGUCAUGCCUAUACUCGGCCGUCAGUCUAGCAGUCAUGGCCGGUCCUUGCGGGCGGCCGCGAAGCCCUGACGAGUAGGAGGGUCGCGGCGAUGGGCGCAGAAGGGUCUGGGCGUGAGCCUGCCUGGAGCCGCCGUCGGUGUAGAUCUUGGUGGUAGUAGCAAAUACUACAGCGAGGCCCUGGAGGGCUGACGCGGAGAAGGGUUUCGUGUGAACAGCCGUUGCACACGAGUCAGUCGAUCCUAAGCCCUAGGAGAAAUUCGAUGGUGAUGGGGGCCGUCAUAGCAUGAUGCACUUUGUGCUGGCCCCCGUUGGGCGAAAGGGAAUCCGGUUCCUAUUCCGGAACCCGGCAGCGGAACCGAUACAAGUCGGGCCCCUCUUUUAGAGAUGUUCGUCGGGGUAACCCAAAAGGACCGGGUGACGCCGUUGGGAGAUCGGGGAAGAGUUUUCUUUUCUGCAUGAGCGUUCGAGUUCCCUGGAAUCCUCUAGCAGGGAGAUAGGGAUUGGAACGCGAAGAGCACCGCAGUUGCGGCGGUGUCCCGAUCUUCCCCUCGGACCUUGAAAAUCCGGGAGAGGGCCACGUGGAGGUGUCACGCCGGUUCGUACCCAUAUCCACAGCAGGUGUCCAAGGUGAAGAGCCUCUAGUCGAUAGAAUAAUGUAGGUAAGGGAAGUCGGCAAAUUGGAUCCGUAACUUCGGGAUAAGGAUUGGCUCUGAGGAUCGGGGCGUAUCGGGCUUGGCCGGGAAGUGGGUCAGCGCUAACGUGCCGGGCCUGGGCGAGGUGAGUGCCGUAGGGGUGCCGGUAAGUGCGGGCGUUUAGCGCGGGCGUGGUCUGCUCUCGCCGUUGGUCGGCCUCGUGCUGGCCGGCGGUGCAGGAUGCGCGCUCCUGCUCGGGGUUCGCGCCCCGGUGCUUCAACCUGCGUGCAGGAUCCGAGCUCGGUCCCGUGCCUUGGCCUCCCACGGAUCUUCCUUGCUGCGAGGCCGCGUCCGCCUUACCGUGCUCCUCCAGGGGCGCGCGGGACCGCGGAUUCUCUUCGGCCGCCAUUCAACGAUCAACUCAGAACUGGCACGGACUGGGGGAAUCCGACUGUCUAAUUAAAACAAAGCAUUGCGAUGGCCGUAUCGUGUGUUGACGCAAUGUGAUUUCUGCCCAGUGCUCUGAAUGUCAACGUGAAGAAAUUCAAGCAGGGCACGGGUAAACGGCGUGAGUUAACUAUGACUCAUCUUAAAGUAGCCAAAUGCCUCAUCAUCUAAUUAGUGAUGCACAUGAAUGGAUUAACGAGAUUCCCGCUGUCUCUAUCUAUUAUCUAGCGAAACCACGGCCAAGGGAACGGGCUUGGAAAAAUUAGCGGGGAAAGAAGACCCUGUUGAGCUUGCCUCUAGUCUGGCACUGUGAGGUGACAUGAGAGGUGUAGCAUAAGUGGGAGAUGGCAACAUCGCCGGUGAAAUACCGCUACUUUCAUUGUUUUUUUACUUACUCGGUUAGGCGGAGCGCGUGCGUCGUGGUAUAACAACCCAGCGUCACGGUGUUCUCGAACCAAGCGUGUUAGGGUUGCGUUCGCUUCGCGGCUCCGUGUCCGUGCGCCACAGCGUGCGGUGCAUGUGGGUGCAAGCCUGCGCGUGCCGUGCGUCCCUUGUGCGUCGGCGCGUCCGCGUGUGCGGCGCAGUUUACUCCCUCGCGUGAUCCAAUUGAGGACACUGCCAGGUGGGGAGUUUGACUGGGGCGGUACAUCUGUCAAAGAAUAACGCAGGUGUCCUAAGGCCAGCUCAGCGAGGACAGAAACCUCGCGUAGAGCAAAAGGGCAAAAGCUGGCUUGAUCCCGAUGUUCAGUACGCAUAGGGACUGCGAAAGCACGGCCUAUCGAUCCUUUUGGCUUGGAGAGUUUCCAGCAAGAGGUGUCAGAAAAGUUACCACAGGGAUAACUGGCUUGUGGCGGCCAAACGUUCAUAGCGACGUCGCUUUUUGAUCCUUCGAUGUCGGUUCUUCCUAUCAUUGUGAAGCAGAAUUCGCCAAGCGUUGGAUUGUUCACCCACUAAUUGGGAACGAGAGCUGGGUUUAGACCGUCGUGAGACAGGUUAGUUUUACCCUAGUGAUGACUGUGUCGUUGCGAUAGUAAUCCUGCUCAGUACGAGAGGAACCGCAGUUUCGGACAUUUGGUUCACGCACUCGGCGGAGCGGCCGGUGGUGCGAAGCUACCAUCUGUGGGAUUAAGCCUGAACGCCUCUAAGGCCGAAUCCCGUCUAGCCAUUGUGGCAACGAUAUCGCUAAGGAUUCCCGAGGUUCGAGAGCCUCGAAAAUACGUGACUUCACUGGGCGCGGUCGACCCACGUGGCGCCGAGCCGUACGGGCCCAACUCGUUAGCUGGACGGGGCACUCGGGCGGCGCUGUCUGGGAUCUGUUCCCGGCGCCGCCCUGCCCCUACCGGUCGACCAUGGGUGUCUAUAUUUCGAUGUCGGGACUCGGAGUCGUCUGUAGACGACUUAGGUACCGGGCGGGGUGUUGUACUCGGUAGAGCAGUUGCCACGCAACGAUCUGUUGAGACUCAGUCCUAGCUUGUGGGAUUCGU